GACGAACGCUGGCGGCGUGCUUAACACAUGCAAGUCGAACGGAAAGGCCCUGCUUUUGUGGGGUGCUCGAGUGGCGAACGGGUGAGUAACACGUGAGUAACCUGCCCUUGACUUUGGGAUAACUUCAGGAAACUGGGGCUAAUACCGGAUAGGAGCUCCUGCUGCAUGGUGGGGGGUGGAAAGUUUCGGCGGUUGGGGAUGGACUCGCGGCUUAUCAGCUUGUUGGUGGGGUAGUGGCUUACCAAGGCUUUGACGGGUAGCCGGCCUGAGAGGGUGACCGGCCACAUUGGGACUGAGAUACGGACCAGACUCCUACGGGAGGCAGCAGUGGGGAAUAUUGCACAAUGGGCGGAAGCCUGAUGCAGCAACGCCGCGUGCGGGAUGACGGCCUUCGGGUUGUAAACCGCUUUCGCCUGUGACGAAGCGUGAGUGACGGUAAUGGGUAAAGAAGCACCGGCUAACUACGUG
rnacentral:rRNA from 1 species